AAAAGCCGAACAUCCCAUCUCUCUCUGAACUCACCCACCCUAAAUUUUCUAUAAAAAAAUCUAGGGUUAACACUGUACGUUGCCAGCUCUAGCCCAUACCUUGCCUCCCCGGCCGCCGCACACCAUCCUCUGCCGGACCUCUCCGCCUCCGUUUCUUUUCUGUGUGAUCCAGUCCGCAUCAGGGGGUAGUUGGCGGGGAAAAUCCCGGCGCCGGUAAGGAGGGCGAGCGUGGGCUGUGGUGGCCCAUUGGCACCCACGCGGCAAGGAAGAUCGAGAGGAUACCCGCGCACGUCCCCACGUCCUUGAAGGAGGCGACUGCAUCGAUGGCGGCCUUUGCUUAAGCGUAGAGCCACCGUCGGCCACUGAUAGUUCACUGCCCGCCCCCACCCAGUCCUUCUCCUCAUUCCCUCGAAGCUCCUCUCCUCUCAUGCGCGCUACACAUCAAUACUAAGGACCACAUGAACAAGCAAGUUGAUGUCCAAGCAUGGUUGCUACUAGAAGAGACCACAUGAACAAGCAGGUUGAUGUCCAAGCAUGGUUGCUACUAGAAGAGUAAGCUUCAGACAACGUCCCAGCUAUGCAAAAAUCCACCAUCUCAUCUCAUGCAUGCAUAACCAGGCCAAUGGUCACCGCUUGCCCAGCCCUCUGUCCAGAAUACCAUCACCAACUCACUCAGAGCCCACGACCGCCACAAAAUCGUCAUGCCACCGCGCAUGCAGGUCAACGCCUCACACCUGAGCGUUGCCAUCCUGUCUCGCGCACGCAGGGAUUAGACUUCUGAUGACAUAUCACAACUUCAAGGUAAAUCAUUAAAAAUUCUAAACACCAUUUAAUUGAAGUUCAAGUCGAGAGCUAAUAAGUGUAGGCAAUACCCUUGUUCUAAUAGAUUACUAAUGAACUGUCAUGCUUAUUCAUAUAACAUUUUAUGCUCGAGAAUUAAUAACCUGCAGACAUAUUGCUAAUUAGUUAGCAAUUUUUGGUCAAGAACUAAUAACCUGUAGACAAUUUUCUUAUUUUGUUAAACGAGCGCUACGGGAGAAUAUCUCCUUGGAAGGAGGUAAUAUAAACCUUGAGACAGUCAUCUUCCUCUAUUAAGGUAACUCUAUGAGAGAACAUCUUCUAGGAUGGAGGCAAAACUAAUGUUAACGGCAAUAACAAAGUCAUAAUUGGGUCUCCAACACCUACUCGUGGCAGAUUGGUAGCAUCUGCAAAAUCAGUUACUUCUUCGUCAUGUGCCUCCCCUGCAAGGUAUCCAUGCAGUCCGUCACUUGCUUGAUUGAUGUCGCCAGUUUAGAUCCCAAUAUUGUUGAUGUAGUUCUCAUAUAUAUGUAGGUUUGUUCCAUCAUCUUAGAUUGUUGUUGUGUGUACACAUGCAUCUUUUAUUUUCAUGUUAGCUUCGAUUGUCUUGGAUGCAACCGUCUAAAUAUGCAUGAAUAUUGCUUGGUAUAUACACUUCUUCUGUUCUUUUGCACUUACGAGUAAUAUGGGAUCUUGGUGUGAAAUGUUAUGCUUGUUAAUUACCUGAAUAUUUGAUGUAAAAUGUGAUUGACCAUGCCGGUGUCAGAGUUCAAUUGUCUGGGUGUGCAUACUGGUCCAUGAACUAUAGUUGGUUGUAACAUUUGUUGACAUGGCAAGGUUGUAAACUUAUCUGCAAUUUUAUGUCUUUAUUUGUUUGAUGACACGAUUGUAUUUUGGUAUCUGCUUCUUGCUGCCUCCCAGUAUUAACUAUGGUUCUGUAUGUACUCCAGAUCCAUAGUGCCACUUUAAAUAUCAACAAAUUUCUUCAGGCAUUGCAGAUUUUAACGUUAUAAAUAUAUUUAUUCUCAUCCUAAAGGAUUUUUUGUUGUCUUCUCGAUAGAUUAUCUAAUAGGAUGCAUUUGAAACAAAUCUGCAAGUUAUGGAAGUUCCAACAUUAGAACUGGGAAGAAAGGUCAGGCCAAUAUCUUCACUGCCAAGAAACUUGGCCAUAUUUUUUCAUCUUCAAACAAAUGUGGAUUAUAUGGCUUCGGCCAAAAUGGAGUUCUAGAUGACUAAUGCUUAUUUCAACUCCAUAUACGUGUAAUUAUACUAAGAGCAGUGCUAGGCGUACGAUGAACUCUUGUACGAUGUUGUACGACACUGCUCAGUCACCCUCCAAUCAAAUCUAUGCAUCAACGGCAAUCAUGGGAUCGCUGCGCCGGACGUGAAUCA